rnacentral:ribozyme from 1 species
GGGCGUUCGGGCGCCCCUAAAUAGGACUUAGGCCCGAAGCGGGCGCCGGCGUUCGGCGCCGUGUCA